UUUGCGUUUAAGUUUCAACUGUAAACUACUUUCGAGAAGUUUGUAAUAAGAAUGAAAUAAGUCUUUUAGUUUUUAUAUGAUUGUUUCCAUUUCAUAAAUAAUUCAAUGUUGUCCACAUAGUAGUUGUCAUAUAAUGAUAUUCGUUCUCUUUCUGAUGGCAGCACAGCAGAUCACUGAAGGGAUGCUGAGACGUGAAUUGGGAUUCUUACCACACUCAAAAGUGUCAAUAUCAUACCUUGAAAUUGCUGCUGAUCACUCAAAGGAUGCUGAGGCAUGAAUUCAUAUUCAUCCCUAUUGGACAGUAUCAACAUCGUUCGUUGAAAAUUAGUCUAGUACAAUUUUUUUUUUUUAAUUAAACAUAGUGUUUCCAUUGAAUUGGAAUUUACAAACCUUGAAAACCUGUUUAGGUUUAUUAUUACUUGGAUAUUUAUUACUUCUUCACGAUAUUUUUUUAUUUUUUAUAAAUAAUAUGUCAUUGACACAAAAGCAU